UCUAGGGUAGAAUCCGCCAAGCUUUGAGAGAAGGCUGUGACUGCUGUGCUCUGGGCGCCAGCUCACUCCAGGGAGUGAUGGGAAUCCUGUCAUUCUUACCUGUCCUUGCCACUGAGAGUGACUGGGCUGACUGCAAGUCCCCCCAGCCUUGGGGCCAUAUGCUUCUGUGGACAGCUGUGCUAUUCCUGGGCACUGUUCUAGGACUUGGAGACUUAUCAGUGAACAUGACUGACAGCCUUCCUGACCGGAAAUACGGGGUCAAUGAACUUAUUGUGAAGCAAUAAGUACACCGGCUCCUGUUGCUGGGACACCUGCAGCUCCCCCAAAGGCUGUGCUGAAACUCGAGCCCCAGUGGAUCAACGUGCUCCAGGAGGACUCUGUGACUCUGACAUGCCGGGGGACUCACAGCCCUGAGAGCGACUCCAUUCAGUGGUUCCACAAUGGGAAUCUCAUCCCCACCCACACGCAGCCCAGCUACAGGUUCAAGGCCAACAACAAUGACAGCGGGGAGUACACGUGCCAGACUGGCCAGACCAGCCUCAGCGACCCUGUGCAUCUGACUGUGCUUUCCGAGUGGCUGGUGCUCCAGACCCCUCACCUGGAGUUCCAGGAGGGAGAAACCAUCGUGCUGAGGUGCCACAGCUGGAAGGACAAGCCUCUGGUCAAGGUCACAUUCUUCCAGAAUGGAAAAUCCAAGAAAUUUUCCCGUUCGGAUCCCAACUUCUCCAUCCCACAAGCAAACCACAGUCACAGUGGUGAUUACCACUGCACAGGAAACAUAGGCUACACGCUGUACUCAUCCAAGCCUGUGACCAUCACUGUCCAAGCGCCCAGCUCUUCACCGAUGGGGAUCAUUGUGGCUGUGGUCACUGGGAUUGCUGUAGCGGCCAUUGUUGCUGCUGUAGUGGCCUUGAUCUAUUGCAGGAAAAAGCGGAUUUCAGCCAAUCCCACUAAUCCUGACGAGGCUGACAAAGUUGGGGUGAGUGAUCCCAGCCA
rnacentral:sRNA from 1 species